AUUGAACGCUGGCGGCAGGCCUAACACAUGCAAGUCGAACGGUAACAGGAAGAAGCUUGCUUCUUUGCUGACGAGUGGCGGACGGGUGAGUAAUGUCUGGGAAACUGCCUGAUGGAGGGGGAUAACUACUGGAAACGGUAGCUAAUACCGCAUAAUGUCGCAAGACCAAAGAGGGGGACCUUCGGGCCUCUUGCCAUCGGAUGUGCCCAGAUGGGAUUAGCUAGUAGGUGGGGUAACGGCUCACCUAGGCGACGAUCCCUAGCUGGUCUGAGAGGAUGACCAGCCACACUGGAACUGAGACACGGUCCAGACUCCUACGGGAGGCAGCAGUGGGGAAUAUUGCACAAUGGGCGCAAGCCUGAUGCAGCUAUGCCGCGUGUAUGAAGAAGGCCUUCGGGUUGUAAAGUACUUUCAGCGGGGAGGAAGGGAGUAAAGUUAAUACCUUUGCUCAUUGACGUUACCCGCAGAAGAAACACCGGCUAACUCCGUG
rnacentral:rRNA from 1 species